UGAAAAGCAAUAAAUGUAUAUGAAAGAAAACAGGAAACUAAUUAUCUCCCCCAGUCAACUCAAACGGCUGGCCUCUACUACCAUUCAUUGAUUUGUUAUUUCAAUACACCCAUCCGUUCUGACGAUAGCUAUUUCCAAAGAAUAAAUCUUUUAUUUGCUAUCCACUUUUGAAAUUAGAUUUCUCACCUUCUCCUUCAAUCAGGACUUCUUCUCCAUCUUCCCUUUGAGUCGAAAGUAUGCCGAUUCAACUCCUCUCCCAUGAGGUAAGAGAUCUCUCCUCUAUUUAGAGUAUUCUUUGUGGUUUUGUGUGCUUGCGAGUUUCCUGAUCUAUAAAUAUGCUGAAAGAUAAUCUCUUGAAAGCAAGAUUUCUUGUUCUGAAUGUCUCUUAUAAUCGCUCCGAUCACUGAUUUAUCUGUUGAAGACGAUUGACAUUUUUUUUAUUGUUCUGGAAUCCCCCAUGACUUUAACCGAUUGUAUACCCAUUAUUAUCCCUAACUUUAUGCCUUCCAAGCAUGCAAAUGCUUCUACUGCAAACGGGGAAGAGACAUUGUUGUAGAGGGUUGACUUUAAGACCAGAAUACAUUUCAUACACAUAUCUUAUGUCAAUAAAAUACACAUUACCAUUGGACAUAAUCAACUAAAGUCAUUCAUUAAACAUAUUACUUAACCGUUAACGAAUAUAUCAAACACCUCACACAUACUUAUAUAUAUAUGCCUAAAUACAUAUAUAUGCAAGUGCUGAAUCAUCAAUUAAACAUAUUCAUUAUCCAAAUCCAGCAUUUAGUCGAAUUCACUCAUCAACUCAAAAUAAUUAUUAAUAUCUAAUGCAAAACAUACGCACAUCAUUUUUACCAUGAGUAACCUAACAAACAUAUUUCAUAUUCAUAUAUAUACCAAAACUGAUUCAACCAAAACACAUCCAAAAUCAUCAGCCAUAUUCCAUGCAUAUAGCAUAUAUAAACAUGACUAAGUUCAUAUAACCACUUACCAUAUUAGCCAUUUUCGCAUGGCUUAAUAUAUACACCACUUCAUACUUAUCCAAAUAUAACCUAGCUUAUACAUACCAUAGAUCCAAGUUUAAACUUAUAAUGUACCAAAAACAGUCAAUAAUGUGAUGGAUUUUGCUGAUGAUCCCCGAGCUCGUAACUAAUCUUCAAAAUCUAUAAAACAGAGGCAAACAUAAAUACACAUACAGUAAAAUAUUGUAGCUUAGUAAGUCAUAAGCAAAUAAAUCAUUAAAUGAACAUUAGUAUUGAACUAACUAAACUGAAUCAAAUAAUCUAUAAUCAGAUACACAUUUUUCAUGCUUGAAACUCAUAUACCAUCACAUGAACGAUAUGUAAUAAUAUUAACUUGGCCGAAUACACAUUAGUUGUGACACCCCUAAAGUGACCCUAGUCGGAAAGUGGUUUUGGGACCACUAAACCGAGUCAUAAAGAUAAUUAACCGUCAUAGUUGAUGCUCAUUAUAUGUACAUAUGCAUGUGUGAAAAUUUCAUGUUUGAAUUUUGUUAAUAGUAAGUGAAUUUUAUCAAAUAGGACUUAUGUGAGAAAAUUUUGAAAUGUGAUAGGUCAAAGCAUAAGGAUCUAUUAGUGCAUGAAAUAAAAAGGGGGGACUUGCAUGUCAAUUUCCCCCCUAAUUAGUAGUGGCCGGCCAUGACAAGUAUGGUAGACCAAGUGUGAUGGGCAAGAACAUGUCAUAAACAUGUUAAGUUAGUGUUUCAUGGGAAGUAUGAUAAAAUAAGGAGCAUGGGAAUAAAAUAAUGAAAGGGAAUAUGAUGAAAACAAAAAAAAAAAGUGUGUGGUUGUUCCCCCAUUUUGCCGAAACAAGAAAAAAAAAAGAGAAAGGCUUCAUCCUUUGGUUCUUCUUGGCCGGUUUGAAAGGAGGAAGAAGAGAGGUUUCGGUCACCUUGAGCUUAAGGGGAGGUUAGUAUGUUGUGUUAAAUUCUUAAGUUUUAAACUUGUUUCUAGUUAAUUAGCAAAUUUCUUACACAAACCAUUGCAAAAUUUUGAAAUCUCGGUGAUGGCUUGAGCAUUCAGUUUUGGUUGUUGAAAGGAAUGAGUUGGAGGUUGGAUCAUGUUAAGAUUCGGCCUUGUACAUAAACAUUAAGAGUUUGAUGUUUUUGAGAUUUUUGGAAGGUAAAUAAGGUUAUACACAAGAUAAAUACUAAGAUUUUGGUUGACUUGUUUUAGUGAGGUUCGGCCAAGGACCUUAUGUGCAAGUUUAUUCGGUUUAAGUAGAGAAAACGUGACGGAUAGAUAUGAAGUAAUGUGUAUAUUGGUUUGGAUGCUAAGCAAGGAAAUAAUUGUUAGUAACAUAGUAUCUAUGCACUUAUGUAUAUAUAUGUAUGUACAAAUAACCUAUUUAGCUAUGGAUAUCUAAGGUGUUAAAUAAUGAAAUUCUUGAUGACUUGGGUUAAAUAGCAUUCGGCCAAGGACUAUAUGGGCUUGUUAAUUCGGUUUAAGUGAAGAAACUAUGAUAGAGAAAUAUGACUAAAUUGUGGACUUUGACAAUUUAAAUGAUGCAUUUGACUUGUGUACCGACCUAGGACGAUAUGUGUUUCUAUAUGAAGUUAGAUGGUGUUGAUGAAGUUCGGUAAUGCAUGAUGUUUAAAUAGUAUUGAGCAAGGUCAUUGUACUUAAAUUGUAUGACAUACAUGUAUUGAAUGGAAUUACCCAAGUGAAAAUAUUAAAUGAAUUUAUUUGUUUAAAUUAAGCUCAAGAGCAAAUGGGAUCUAAAUCCGAUAAAGGGAAGGAAAAAGUGAUCGAAUAGCCGCCGAAAUCGUUCGACCACAUCCGAGGUAAGCUUUAAGUGAUUAAACGUUGAGUAAAUUCAAUCAUAAUAGGACAUAAUGAGUUGAUUUAAUAAGAUAUGAUGUGGCCAUGAUAUGUCUUAAACUCAAAUGGUAAGUUCAUAUGUGUUUGGACUUGGAAAGUUAAGAGCAAAUUGUAAUAAUUUGCUUUGGACAGCAGCAGUAACGUGAUUUUAGAAAAUCACUAUAAAUUGUUGGUGUGGAAUUAUAGGCUGAAUAAAAUAUGUAAUCAAGGCUUAAUUAGUCUAGUUUCUUAUAAAAGAGACCUUGUGAGCAAACAAAUUUCCUAUAAAGAGAUAUUUAAAGUUGUGUGAGACGGUGUCAGAAUGACUCUGAAAUCCCCUGUUCUGUUUUUAGAAAAUCAUUAUAAAUUGUACAAAAAUGGUUAUAAGAUAAAAUUUAUAUGCUUAGACUCCUUAAUGAGUCUAGUUUCAAAUGAAAUCAAAUACAACACAUUUUGAAUUCUGUAAAAUGAGAAAUUUGAUUCGCAGUGAAGAGUGCUCAGAUUAGUCAAACAGAGAAACAGGGGAAACUUUAAGAAAAAUCUGGUAUUGAUUGGCCAAACCUAAAAUUCUGAAACUUUUAUGGAUGGAAGAUAUACAAGUCUAUAUUUAGGGAAGAUUAACGGCAAGUGAUUUGGAGUUUUGUAGCUCCAGUUAUAAAUAAUUUAGUGACUACUGCUCAGGAAAACAGCUCGUAAUGAAUAUGUGAUUUUGUUGUAAACAUGGAUAAAACUUGUUUUAGUUACUCAUAAGCUAUUGAUUAAACCCAUACGUGAAUUCUAAAUCGUGAUAUUGUAAAACGAUAUAUGAGUGUUAGAUGGAUCUUUGAUAUUAAAAUUUGUGAAAUUGUAAGUUUAUGAGUAUUCGAAUAUGAAAUGAUAGUAUGGCGUGAAAUUGAAUUAUUCAUUGGGAAAUGAUUAAUGUAGAUUCGGCCAAGACAAAGUGUAUACAUGAUAGUAUAUGUGAUAUGUGAAGUAUAUUUGGAUAAUUGUGAUGUGAAUGUAUAUAUAUGUGAUAAGGCCUAAUGGCCGAUGUGAUGAAUGUGAAAGUGUAUAUAUGUGAUAAGGCCUAAUAGCCGAUGUGAUGAAUAUGAAAGUGUAUAUAUGUGAUAAGGCCGAAUGGCCAAUGUGAUGAAUGUGAAAGUGUAUAUAUGUGAUAAGGCCGAAUGGCCACUGUGAUGAAUGUGAAAGUGUAUAUACAUGUGAUAAGGCCUAAUGGCCGAUGUGAUGAAUGUGAAAGUGUAUAUAUAUGUGAUAAGGCCUAAUGGCCGAUGUGAUGAAUAUGAAAGUGUAUAUAUGUGAUAAGGCCGAAUGGCCAAUGUGAUGAAUGUGAAAGUGUAUAUAUGUGAUAAGGCCGAAUGGCCAAUGUGAUGAAUGUGAAAGUGUAUAUACAUGUGAUAAGGCCUAAUGGCCGAUGUGAUGAAUGUGAAAGUGUAUAUAUAUGUGAUAAGGCCUAAUGGCCGAUGUGAUGAAUGUGAAAGUGUAUAUAUGUGAUAAGGCCUAAUAGCCGAUGUGAUGAAUGUGAAAGUGUAUAUAUGUGAUGAGGCCUAAUGGCCGAUGUGAUGAAUGUGAAAGUGUAUAUAUGUGACAGGGCCGAGUGGCCAACGUGAUGGAUGUGAAAGUGUAUAAAUGUGAUAAGUCCCGAAGGGCAAUUGUGUCAGUACUAUAUCCGGGUUAAAACCCCGCAGGCUUUAUGCGAGAGUAUUAUCCUGAUUAUUGUCCGUAGGCUUCGUGCUCGUACUAUAUCCGAGCUUUAAAGACCCGACGGCUAAAUGCUAGGAUUCAAGUAAGACUUUGAUAUUGAGUAUCUGCAUUAAGUUACCAUCAAAUAAGUAUUAUGUAUUCAAGAUGUUCAGGUACGUAUUACUUACUCAUCGGUGGAGUGAUUUCGAGGUGAAUUAUCAGUAUCAAAGAGGUAGGUAAAUGUGAUUAAUAUUAUAACUCCAAAUGUGAGAAUGUGCUUUGGAAAUAUUUGACCAUCUAGGUCAUUAUUAUUCGAAAGUAUAUAUGUGGCAGCCAAGUGUUGCGUUUAAUGAUAUUAUAGAUCGAGAUGAAGCUCUAGAUUAACUUCAUCGAACAGUUGAAAUGAAUGACCAAUAAUAGUGAUUGAGAACACUUUGUCUUGCUUAAAACUUACUAAGCAUUAAAUGCUUACUCCGUUCUUUGAAUCUCUGUUUUAUAGAUUUUGGUUCGUCAGCUAUCGGACUCGGGAUUAUUGAAGUCGAAGUCGCCCACACUAUCAAAGCCCUUUUGGUACACUUUUGGUUGAACUCUGAAAAUGGCAUGUAUAGGACUACCCUUUUGUAGUGGGUCAUGGACCCUUUGGAUUUGUAUAAUUUUGGAUAGCCAUGCGAAAAUGGCUUAUAUAUGUUUGAGCAUAAUGUUAUAAUCAUUUGGUAUGGAUAUGGUUAUUGAGAGGUGUGGAUAUGCUUAACAAGGAUUGGCCAUGGGAAUGGUUAAUCACUAUCAUAAUUUGUGUUAUUUAUGCUAAAAGGGCUAGUUGAAUCAUG
rnacentral:lncRNA from 1 species